AAAAACAUCGCCUUUGGUAAAAUAUCAAAAGGUCCUGCCUGCCCGGUGAUUAUAAAAAUUAAACGGCUGCGGUACUCUGACCGUGCAAAGGUAGCAUAAUCAUUAGCCUGUUAAUUCCAGGCUGGAAUCAAUGGCAAGACGAAGAAAAAGCUGUCUCUUUCUAUUAUUUUAGAAUUUUUCUUUUUGGUGAAGAGACCAAAAUAAAUAAGUGGGACGAGAAGACCCUAUUGAGCUUUAGUUAACUAAAAGAAAAAAGUUUUUUUUAAAUAACUUUGGUUGGGGCAACUGUUUAUAAAAUUAAACAUUCAUAAAAUAAAAAUGAAUUAAAUCUUUAGUAUAAAAAACCCAGAAAUUUUUAUUCUGCACUUAAAAAAAGUUACCUUAGGGAUAACAGCGUAAUUCUUUUUGAGAGUACAUAUUGACAAAAGAGUUUGCGACCUCGAUGUUGGAUCAAGAUUUCCUGGAGGUGUAGUGGUUUCCAAGGGUUGGUUUG
rnacentral:rRNA from 1 species